rnacentral:tRNA from 2 species
GCUCCCUUCGUCUAUCGGUUAGGACGUCAGGUUUUCAACCUGAAAAGAGGGGUUCGAUUCCCCUAGGGAGUACCA